GGCAAAUUGUUUUAAGUAUAAAAAAGAAGAUGUGGUAUGAUUGCCAAUGAGACACAAGCACGGGGGGUCACUUCCUAUUAUUGGGUAUACGGGGAUGUGCCAAAAAUAUGGGUCAUAAUUUUGCGAGAUUUUAUAUAAAAAUGACCCUCCUUUUUAGUGACAUCCUAUAUUAAAAUGCAUUUACGUUUGAUAACUAUAUAUUGAUUUGGGGUAUGAUCUGCAUAUCAUAUAUAAAUAUGCAAUUGAGAAUCUUACAUUAUUAAUGGUCAAUUAUUAUAUUAAAUUAAAUCAAUUCAUAUGAAAGUUCACCUUUCAAACAAAGUGUUUUCAAAAAAGUUCCCAUAUGAACCCCGGUGAGUUAGUGCUUAUAUAAGCAUGGGUCAUAUUUUAAAUAUUGUAUAUAAGUAUAGGUCAUUCUUUCUCAAAUAUUUAUAUAACUAUAGGUACUGAAUUUCAGUGAAUGUUAUAUUAAAAUGGGUACUUUUUUUGAGGCAAAAACGGCACACCCCUACCAAAAAAAUAUCGAAGUUACCCCCCCCGUGGACACAAGAGACCAAAAUGACACAGAAAUUAACAACUACAGGUCACCGUACGGUCUUCAACAAUGAGCAAAGCCCAUACCGCAUAGUCAGCUAUAAAAGGCUCCGAAAUGACAAUGUAAAACAAUUCAAACGAGAAAACUAACGGCCUUAUCUAUAUAAAAAAAAUGAACGUAAAACAAUAUGUAACACAUAGACAAACUAC
rnacentral:lncRNA from 1 species